rnacentral:piRNA from 1 species
GGACUUGCCCUUCCAGGAGUAUGUGGAGC